rnacentral:rRNA from 1 species
UAGGGAAUCUUCCGCAAUGGGCGAAAGCCUGACGGAGCAACGCCGCGUGAGUGAUGAAGGUCUUCGGAUUGUAAAACUCUUUUAUUAGGGAAGAACAAAUGUGUAAGUAACUAUGCACGUCUUGACGGUACCUAAUCAGAAAGCCACGGCUAACUACGUGCCAGCAGCCGCGGUAAUACGUAGGGGGCAAGCGUUAUCCGGAAUUAUUGGGCGUAAAGCGCGCGCAGGCGGUUUUGUAAGUCUGAUGUGAAAGCCCAGGGCUCAACCGUGGAGGGGCGUUGGAAACUGGAAGACUUGAGUGCAGAAGGGGAAAGGGGAAUUCCAGGUGUAGCGGUGAAAGGCGCAGAGAUAGGGAGGAACACCAGUGGCGAAGGCGACUUUCUGGUCUGUAACUGACGCUGAGGUGCGAAAGCGUGGGGAUCAAACAGG